UCUGUCAGAGUCAACUGACACAGCAUUUCUAUUGUUCGAUAUGUUUAUGUUUAUGCUGUGCAGUAAUGGAAAAUAACGAAGUUAAAAGUGGCCUUUUUAGUGAAUAAAUCGGUUGAAUGAAUUCAUUCAGGUGGGUUGCUGUGCUAUGUGGCAACAAUCUUUACGGCGAAAGAUUGUCCCAUAGCAAACCCAUAACGGUCCCGGGACACCGUGAUAAUCAUCUUGCCUCUGCAAGAUGCAAUCAGAUUUGGCCAAAUAAAGCAAAUGGGCGAUCCCCUCCCAACAUCUCCAUAGGUGGAGAAAGAUGAGGGAAAUUUCAUUAACCCCUCGCCUCCUUCUCCGAUCCUACCAGUGCUGGUAUGGAUCCCCGUAAUAAAUCAGGUGUUCAUCCUUUCGGCGGUGAUUGCACCAAGUGACUGGGGGCAAAAAGUAAUCCCGCACAGCACCGGGAAGUGGACAAUCUGCCGUAGGUAACAAAAUAGAAAAGAUUGAGA